AAGAAGGUGUAAUACAAACUGAGACACGCACAAGGAAGAGGAGAACAGGAACUUAUUUUUUUUAGAGCGUUCGAGCAGCCGAGGUUCGAGGUGAUGUGGCAUCGUUUCAGGGAUGAAGCUUGAGACAUUCUCACAAGAGCGUUCGCGCAGCCGAGGUUCGAGGUGAUGUGGCAUCGUUUCAGGGAUGAAGCUUGAGACAUUCUCACAAGAGCGUUCGCGCAGCCGAGGUUCGAGGUGAUGUGGCAUCGUUUCAGGGAUGAAGCUUGAGACAUUCUCACAAGGGCAGUUUGUGUGUAGUGAUCUCACAGUAACUGAUCUAAUAACAGUUUUGAAUGUUAUUGUAGUUAUAAUGAUGUAAUUUUUUGUAAUUUCCGUUUUUUUUCCCAAUAGAUGUCGCCAGAGAUUUCCAGAGUCCCUCAUUAGUUCUCAUUGCUUUCACUUGAAUCCCAUUACCCUCUUGUGUAUUAAAGUUCCCAUUUUGGCUGAAGUUCUUGUUAAUUAAUGUUGUGUGGUCUGUUUCCUGUUGAGUUGACCAGUGUAAGUCAUUAUUUUGAGGUAAUUUUUCCUUAGUUUUUCUUCUGAAGACUUUGUUUCUGGUAUUUUUCCAGAAUUCCUGAGAAAGUUUUGAAUUCAUUGUCCUUACUUGUGGACUGAUUUUGCUCUGCCUUGGAUUUUCGGGACUUGAGUUUUCCCUGGUUCCUUCUGCCCUAAAACAUCUUUCACCCAAAUAUUUUAUUUGGGGGGGGUCAAUGCAGUGCUUAGAAUUUGUUGGGAAUAAUUCAAUGGGAUAAAUGAAAUAUUGCUUUCAGUACUGCCACUGUCUACCACGGAUGCCAGUUCUUUCAUGCUGUACGUUUCAGUCUUCCUUCCUUCCUUUCUUUCUGCUGACACUUACGAUUUCCUUACUGUGUUUUGUAAUUUUGACAUUAACUCAUGACGGUUAUGUUUACUUCCUCUUCUCUCAAUCUUUUUCCCCUGUUGCGCACACAAGCAGAAAUAUUUCACUUCCUGUACAAGUUCUCACUCAGCACAUCCGUGUUUCUGUCCUGACUCGCACAAGUUGCAAAACAAAGCACCUCUGUUUUUUGGUGUUUUUUUAGGGGGUUUCUUCUCUGCAUGAAAACAUGUUUAGCAUUUUAGCAAUUUUACAAGUUGGCAUUUGUAUCACGAUGCAUAUUUUUAAACAUAUUUGUAUCGGUAAAAAAGAUUCAGUAGAUGUGCGCUACUUUUAGUAUUUUAAGUGACCAAUAUUUUAUAAAAUACAGUAGAACCCGGUUAUGUCGAUGUCCUAGGGGGUCGCCAAAAAGCAUCGAGAUAACCGAUGAUCGAGAUAAACGAAAAUCAA